UGAUCUCAAAUCAGGUAGGACUACCCGCUGAACUUAA
rnacentral:rRNA from 4 species